rnacentral:ncRNA from 1 species
UUGAAAAGGGGAGCUUGUGUUACAGGCUGAGAAAAAGGUAUAACCUUUGACCCAUAACCUGAUUUGGAUAAUGCCAACGUAGGGAAGACA